UGCUUCUACGGAUUGAGGGUGUGGUGAGGUUUUUUGUUUUUUGGGGGGUGGGUGGGUAAGGCGGUAGCCACCAGCAAAUCGCCUUGCUCGCCUGAUUUUUAUGAGCCUCUGGGAAGUUUACCGUACAGAGCAGAAUGCGGCCGCCUCUUAAAAAUGCAUCCAAUUUGGUGCCCUCCAAGUCUUUUGCGAGUGCAAUUAUCUAAAUUCUCAAAGGCCAACGGGGCCAAAGGACAAGUUGAGAAUGACCAGAGUUGUCGUUUCAGUAUAUUUGGAAGACUUCAGAUGAAAUCGAGGAUGGUCAUACUGUGUUCGAUAUACCGUAUUUUUCGGACUAUAAGAAACACCGGUGUAUAAGAUGCACCAAGAUUUCGAAGAGAUGCCUGUUCCCAAUAUGAAUGACUACGAAAAAAUGGAUUACAUAGAGAAAUAACCUAAUCUGGUUUAAGACCAAACCAGACUGCUUCUAGGGAAACUACAAUUUUGUGAGACUCUUUAAGAGCUAAAUAAUUAGCAUCCUGCAUAAAAUAAGUAGUAAAACCUGUUUAUUCUGAAGAGUACAUUGUGUGACACCAAUGUGGAAGCUAAGGGGAAGUGUUAAGUGUUGAACUGACUGUAUUCAGAAGACAGCAAGAGAAGUGAUGAAGGACCCAAAAUGAAACACUUAUAAGACUAACACAUUUGGAAGGGAAAGUGUAGGUCAUCUAGUCCAACCCCCUGCCCAAACAGGAGACUCUACACCAUUUAUGAAAUUUAUGUCUCUUCUUGAA